rnacentral:rRNA from 1 species
AUGACCCCGUGUGUGUUUCCCAAUUGGUCAUCCAAACCAUCAUUUCUUUCUUCCAUCCCGGAACGGAGAUCUGACCCAAGGAAGGAAUUGCCUUCUUUCUCAUGCCAACCAGAUGGAUGCGGCCCAGAGCUGAGUGAAUGUAUCCUAAUUUGUGGCCUAAUUCUUCUUCUUCUGAUCGAUUCAACCUCUGAUAAAAAAGAUAGACCUUGGUUCUAUUUCAUCUCUGCAACAAGUUUAGUAAUAAGCAUAACGGCCCUAUUGUUCCGAUGGAGAGAAUAA